ACGGGGUGCAGCAGGCGCGAACACUUUACAAUGCGGGAAACCGCGAUAAGGGAACCCCGAGUGCCAGCAUCAAAUGUUGGCUGUCCAGAUGAUCAAAAAUCAUUUGUUAGCAAGGGCCGGGCAAGACCGGUGCCAGCCGCCGCGGUAACACCGGCGGCCCGAGUGGUAGCCGUUUUUAUUGGGUCUAAAGGGUCCGUAGCCGGCCUGAUAAGUCCUUUGGGAAAUCUGGCAGCUUAACUGUCAGGCUUYUAAGGGAUACUGUCAGGCUUGGGACCGGAAGAGGUAAGGGGUACUCCAGGGGUAGGAGUGAAAUCUUGUAAUCCCUGGGGGACCAUCUGUGGCGAAGGCGCCUUACCAGAACGGGUCCGACGGUGAGGGACGAAAGCUAGGGGAGCAAACCGGAUUAGAUACCCGGGUAGUCCUAGCUGUAAACGAUGCUCGCUAGGUGUCAGACACGGUGCGACCGUGUUUGGUGCCGCAGGGAAGCCGUUAAGCGAGCCACCUGGAAGUACGUCGCAAGGC
rnacentral:rRNA from 1 species